GGGCUUAUGUAUUUAUUUAUAAAUAUUUCAAUUUUUGCAAGAUCCAUUUUUUAUGUAACUUUAACCCAUUGAUGAGAUAUUCCUUUUUUUAAGUUUGAUAACAGUCCAGUGGGAAAGAGAGGUGAGAGAGCUGUAGAGCAUGCCAAAAUACUCUCCCCCUACUCAUAAACCAUCAAACUUUUAAAUAAAUUGGUGAAUAAAGAAUAUAAACCUCACC